rnacentral:lncRNA from 1 species
CCUAGAUGGCAGAAGUGCCCAGCUUGAUCCAUGGACUCAUGAGAAAUAAUAUUUGUCAUUCUGGGUCAAUAAGUUUGGGGUGUUUUGUUGCCCAGCACAAACGUUCCCAUGUGACUCGGUGGCUUCAACUGGUAGGGGGCUAUCUGUCCUACAGUACAAGUACAGAGGUGAGCAGUUCUACACUCUUGGGUGGCUCCAGGCACCCCUUGCUCUUGUCUUUCCGGUCUACUCUCCUUGGUGGGGGAGCUCUGGCUGCUGCUUCUUCUUUUUUUUUGGUUCCCGGGGAUUGAACUCAGGGACACUCGACCACUGAGCCAUGUCCCCAGUCCUAUUGUGUAUUUUAUUUAGAGACAGGGUCUCACUGAGUUGCUUAGCACCUCACCAUUGCUGAGGCUGGCUUUGAACUCACGAUCCUCCUUUCUCAGCCUCCCGAGCCUUGCUGGCUUCUUGCUUUUUAUCUGAUGAUCCCCAAAACAGUUUGCUCUUGCACCAAACCUGAGCCCCAGGACCAAAAGGGGGCAGGGGGCAAAGGGGCAAAGCUUUCUCCAAGGGAAGCCCUCCUGGGGCUUUCCUUUAUGUCCUUGGGCAGAGCUCACACUGCGCCCUUGCUAGCUGCAAGGGAGGCGGGGAAAUCGAGGGCGCAGCAUUCAGCCUCUGAGGCAGGAUACGCUCGUUGGCGCCCCCUGGUGCCUGCAGCACCCGCUCGCUUGGGGGCUCCGGGUUCCUGGUCUCUCUACUCUUUGCAGCUCCGACCUUCUGUUUCUGAACACCGUGCUACAGGAAAGGUCCUCGCCAGCCUUGGAGCGGCACCUUCUCUCUCUGCCCCAGCUCCACCACUGUCCUGAAUGGCACCCUAAGCGCAGAGAUGCUGAUUGGCCCGGCUGGAAUUAGGAGGGAAAUCGGAUUGGCCUGGCUGGGGUUGGGUAACUACCACCCAGCCAAUCAGCGACGGCCAAGGGAGCCGCUCAGGGGAGGGA